rnacentral:rRNA from 1 species
UACGAAGGGGGCUAGCGUUGCUCGGAAUCACUGGGCGUAAAGGGCGCGUAGGCGGCCAUUCAAGUCGGGGGUGAAAGCCUGUGGCUCAACCACAGAAUUGCCUUCGAUACUGUUUGGCUUGAGUUUGGUAGAGGUUGGUGGAACUGCGAGUGUAGAGGUGAAAUUCGUAGAUAUUCGCAAGGACACCAGUGGCGAAGGCGGCCAACUGGACCAAUACUGACGCUGAGGCGCGAAAGCGUGGGGAGCAAACAGGAUUAGAUACCCUUGUAGUCC